CUUUAUUGCACUUUUCUUUGCUGUUGUAACAAAUUACUCGACCUACAGCAGUUGGCCGAGUAUCCCUGUGAAUUAGUCACUGGAUAACCAGGGAAUUUAUUCAGUGAAUAAAUAUAUAAGAUCAUAGUUUGUUAGUUUUACAGUUCAUGGUUAUUACAUACAUUUUACAAACUAUAUUGUUUCAUAAUUACGGAAAGUGUACAGUUUUGUCCGGUUUUGUUUCUAAAGAUUAAAACUUUAUGAUCGUUGACCUUUAACCUUAUUGAUGAAAACCGUUGAAGCUUGUUGAUCAAUUGUCCGGAUUAAUUUAUAUGUUUUAUUGAUACACACGAACAACUUAAACUUUAGUUAAAAAUUACAUGUGGUAAGUUUCGACGUUGUAGUUGGAAAUUCAUUUGAUUAAGUGAUAAAGUGUGUAUAAAAGUAUUUUGAGACAAAAUUCUGUACAUUUUCACAAAGCAUGCUGUUUUGGUAUAUUACCACGUGCUCAGAUAUAUUGUCAACUUUUGCUACACAAAUUCUAUACAUAAAAAAAAAAAAUAUUGUAUUUAGCUAUUCAUGAUCAAAUGUAUCUUUUUACAUCAUUUAAAAAUUUGCUGUUUUUAGCAUUAAUAUAUAUGUUGAUUUCGUAUGUGUUUAAAAAUUCAUUUCUGAAAACUGUAUAAGCGUCUAUGUCUUUUUGUUUAUAAUUUGAUAUAUGAGUGUUUUUAUGAAUUGAAUAUAAUAAGACAGUAAGGAAGAGAUUUAUAUCAUUAUACAUAGGAUCAUGUAUUUUAUAGCCCAGUACUAAAGUUUUAAAAUUAAAAAUAUGUGACCCAAUUUUGAUUUUGCUUACAAGUACAUAUAUUUUCUUCCAAAAUUCAUGAAAGAAUUGUCAUUUGAGAAAAAAGUGUUCGUAAUCUUCAGUCACAUUACACAAGUCACACAUACUUGUUUCUUGUAUGUGCCAUUGUAGUAAUUAUUGUUUACAUGGUAGGAUGAAAUGGAGUAAUUUCCAUCUUAACAUUUUAUAUUUGUUAUUAAUUAAAUAGGUAAAAGUAAAUUGAAGCACAUUAUUUAUUGGAGUGAUUGAUUCUAGAUUGAAGAUGUUUUUCCAUUUGGAGAACCCUAGUGGUCUCUCCUCAUUUUUGUUAUUUAAAUAGUUAUAUAUAUAUCUUUGGAUGACAUGUUUUCAAUUAGUUCUGUUUUUUUGUUAACAAUCAAGGACAAGUUUAAUUUUGUUUUUACAGACGUUUUCAAAGAUUUGUCAGAUUUUAAUGUACUAACCCAUUCUUUUGGAAUACAAUUUUUCAAUUUUAAAAGUUCUGAGAUCCAAUUGGUUUUUGAAGUUAGUUUCUCCAAUAUAAGUUUUUGUGAUAUGUGCCCUUUUUGGUCAAUUAUAUCAUUAAUGAAAAUAAUACCAUCUUUUAUCCAAUUUGGGUAAACUAAACAUUUUCCUUUAAAUUUUAUAUUUUUAUUACCCCACAACAUUUGCUGCCUAAUAUUUCUAAAAUUUAUGAUAGGUGUAUAACUUGUUGGUGUAUUAUAUGCUUCAUACCAGCUCUUUAAUAUGUUCAAGUAAAAUGUGGGUAGAACAUUACUUAAAUUAGGUAAUGAUUUUAUGUUGUCAGGCAUCAUAUGAAAUAUAAGGUUGUUUUUACCAAAUUUAUUGAAAUAAUAUGUUGGAAUGACUUUCCAAUUAGCAAAUUCUUUUGCCGUUAAUCGUUUAACCCAUGAAAUAUUUAGUGCAUUUAAGAAGCAAUCAAUGUCUGUCAUUUUUAGACCUCCAUUUGUGUAAUCUUUGGUAAGUGUUGAACGUUUUACCUUUUCUUGUUUAUUAUUCCAUAUAAAAUUAUAAACAAGUUUUUUAAAAUCUUUUAUGUACAUUUGGGGUAUUGAAACAACCGAAGCCAAAAAAGUAAGAUUAGGUAAAAUAAGCGACUUAACAACUGUUAUUCGUCCUAUCAUGGUUAAAUUUCUUUUUCCCAAUCAAGUAUUAAUUUUUUUGUCUGUUUCAUUUUUUUUCAAUAUUUAAUUUGUCACAUUCACUUUUAUCUAAUCCAAAGUAAACACCUAGACUUUUAAUUGGUUCUUUGCUCCAGUGUAUAUUUUCCAUUUUUUCUUUACAAUGUUUAAGUCUACCUAACCAUAUACCUUCUGUUUUAGAUUUAUUCAGUUUCAAACCAGAAAGUGUUCCAAAUAUUUCUAUUAGGUUUAAUGCUUGGUGUAUUUCAUUUUUUGAACUGAGAAAGAGUGUUGUGUCAUCAGCCAAUUGGGAAAUUUUUAAACUGUGCGUUUUUUCAUCAAGUUUAAUUUGAAACCCUUUAAUGUUUGAAUCUUGUCUUACUCUACAGGCCAGGAUUUCAACUGCCAUAACAAAAAUAAGAGAACUUAACGGACAUCCUUGUUUUAUACCACGGUGAAGACUGUAGGUUUCUGAAAUCCAGCCGUUAUUAGACAGGCAUCCUUUAGUAUCAUUGUAUAACGUUUUAACCCAUUUUAAGAAGGAGUGUGGUAUUCCAAAUUUUAGUAGAGAUUCAUACAUGAAGGGCCAUUCUAAAGAAUCAAAGGCUUUGGAAAAGUCUAUGAACAAUAAAACCCCAUCUAUAUUAAAUUUUUCUGAGUAGUCUAUAAUAUCUUGAAUCUGGCGAAUUUAAAAAUGAAUUAAUGUUAAAACCUAUGUACCGAUUUUUUAUAUAUCCAUUCUGAUCCAUAUGAUGCUAUGAAUAAUUUGGACAACACCAUCUUUAAUCUUUGCGCUAAGGCAUAGGCCAUAAGCUUAGUGUCUACAUUUAAUAAAGUGAUUGGCCUGUAGUUAUCUAAUGAUAAUGGAUCAUUUUUUUUAUAUAAUAAGGAGAUAACACCUAUUUUUUGGAGAGUUGUCAUUUCUUCUUUUUCAUAACAUGUAUUAAAUACUUUCACUGCAGAUUCUUUUAGGUAUGACCAAAAUGUUCGAUAAAAUUCUACACUGAGACCAUCUAGUCCAGGGGAUUUAUUUAGUUUCAUGUUAAAUAUAGCAUUUGUACAUUCUUCUAAUGUUAGGUUGCCCCCCAAUAGUUCACUGUCACUAUUGGAUAGUGAGUGAUCUAUCUUUGUUUGACUUGUAUAAUUUUUUAUUUCUGAAGGGUCCGGUUUAGUACUUUUAUACAAAUUUUGGUAGUAAUUUUUCCCUAGAAUAAGAAUAUCCGACGCGUCUGUAACAAUAUUACCAUGGUCAUUUCUAAGGGCGGAAAUGGUUUUCUUGGUUUGUCUUGAUUUUUCAAGACCCAAAAAAUAUUUUGUGUUUUUUCCCCUUCCUCUGCCCAUCUGACUCGGGAUCUAAUUUGUGCACCUCUAGUUUCUUUUACAUAUAAAUUUUGUAAAUUGUUUUUCUACAUUAUUUAUUUCUUUUUUAAGAUGUUGAGAAUUACUUGAUUUUUCAUUUAAGAAUUUCAACUUAUUUUCUAAAUGUUUAAUUUCAUUUUUACUUUCAGCAGCCUUUUGUUUGCAGUAUGCAAUGGUUACCUCCCUUACUUCAGUUUUGAAAAUGUCCCAAGUAACUCGAGGAUCAUUAUUUUUGGUGAGUAUUUUUUCUUGAUGAGUAUCAAUUAGUUUAAUUAUUAUUUCUUUGUAUUUUGUAUCAUUCAGUAUGCUGUUAUUUAUCUUAAAGAAUCCUUUGCCUUUAUUUUGAGCUUUAAGUCUUAUUUGUACAGAGAUUGCUUGAUGAUCUGUAUGUGAUAUUAGUGCAGGUCUUAUGUCUGCUGAUAUUAUGUGAGGUCUUAUAUCUGGGCUUAUUAGAAAAAAAUCAAUUCUGCUUGCAACACUUCUAUUGUUUUUUCUUCUCCAUGUAAAUUGACUGCUGUUUUGAUUUAGUUCUCUCCAAAUAUCAAUAAGUUUAAAUUUUUUUAUAAGUUGCUUUAAACUGUUAACAGUUUAUUUGAUUAUUAGGGCUAAUACUUUUUCUAUCAAAUGAAGUUAAACUUUCAUUCAUAUCACCCCCCAUUAUUAAUAUUCCUAAGCGGUUAUUGUUAAUGAUAUUGUUUACUUUUUUGAAAAAAGAGUUUCUAUUUCGACGAAUGUUCGGAGCAUAUACAUUCAGUAGCGUGAAAAUAUACCAUCAAGUUCUAUGUUAAUGAGUAUUAUUCUUCCAUCAUUAUCUCUAGUUUCAUUAAUAGUUUUAUAUUUUAUGUUAUCUUUUAUAAGAAUUGUUACGCCUCUUGAUUGUGAAUUUCCGAAACUAUGGUAAGUUCCCUUUUAUCUCAAUGUUAUGACAUUUUCAUGUUUUCAAUAAGUGUGAUUCUUGUAUGAAUAAUAAUUACAUUUUUGGUUUUUGCACCAUAGGUUUAAUCUUUCUCUCUUUUCUUUUUGCCCUAAGCCUUGACAGUUUAAGGAACAUAUAUUUAGUUUUUCACUCAUUAUAGAGAUUAAUUAUUUUUAUAUUACACGUCAUACACGUAUCUUCAGAAUUAUACAAUAGAGACAGAAGGUUGAGCUUAAAAAGUAAAUAAGUUGAUAUCAUAUUGUUAAUAUACACACUGAAAUUGUUUACAAACACAUAUAAAUUAUACACAUAUAAAUUGUACACAUAUAAAUAAUAUAGAUAACAGUUGAAUUUUAUUUCUAAAUUACAUAGUAUCAUGUGUUUAAAACCAACAUUAAUCAUGAUGAUGAAUUUUAUGUUGUGUGUGAUAAUCAUAUACUUGUUCACAUGUUUGUUUAAGAAAAAGAAAAAAGAAAUCAUUGUUACGUUUAUUUUCUUUUUCAGGUUGAUGUGUCUGUUGCAUAGAACAUGUAGAAGAGAUUUUGUAUUUUGCGCAAAUUUACUUUUGGGAUUUUCAUGAUACACAAAUAGGAGUAUUUUUCUCACAGCGUUAUGAAGACUGUGAUUUUGGAUAUAAAGUAGAAGCAUAAUGAUAUGACAACUGAACCAUGAUGACUGGAUUUUCCUGUUCUCUUUGCUCAACAAUUUUAUUUUGAUUUUGAAUAUCCUAUGAAUAUUGAGAAGGAAGUGUACAAGAAAAUUAAAUAUUUGUGCAGUGUAUAAUGUACAUUUGAUUGGAAUUAACAAGCAUAACAGUAUUGGAUUUGUGAUAGUAUUUGGAUUAUGUCUGUGUGAAAAUGUGAUUCUAGAAUUUUCCUGAUCUAAUCUGAGUGUCUUAGCAUAAGGAACUGCUGAUGUACAUGUAUCAUAACUCUUUUUAUGCAUAAUGUUUUUUUGGCGGAUAACGUUUACAAAACAUUUGAUAGUUGUGAUCCAGCUUUUAUUAUGACAUUUAGUUGAUAGAUAUAUAGAAAUUUGUUUGCCGUUAAAUAGAUUGUGAAUUUUUAAAAGAUGAG
rnacentral:lncRNA from 1 species